AUGUGGUUGUUGUUUGAGUCACAUUAUUUUCUGACAUUACUGUUUCAUCAAUCCCUUUAUAACUUUAUUGAAAUAGAUCUAACAGCAGAGGAGUCUCCAAGGCAGAUAUCAAGAGAAACAGAUUCAACACAAGUGCAUGAGAGUUCUGAAGAAGACUCUUUAAGCAGUUUUUCCAGCAAACCUCAUGUUGAUGAUACAUGGCCUACAUCAGAUACAGUCACUGAUUUUGAUCUCGAGGUAAAGUGCUCUUGUGAAAUGAGUUUUCCUGCUGAAUUUAAUUUUGUGUAG
rnacentral:lncRNA from 1 species